GCGGCCGCGGCGCCGGCGCCGGCGCAACCACCUCAGCAGCGGUAGCUGGCUUCGAGGGUCGCGAUGAAAAACAAGCCGUAAUUGCGACCCCGACCGAGACGUCGCUUCACAAACAGGGUUGCCAGAUCGCAUGAUAACGGAUAUCGGUAAUCGGUACCUAUUUUUUUCGGGAUGUUGGGAUUUUUGUAAAAUAAAAUGUACCUACCUAAUUAAAGAUUUAUCAACUCGAUACCUUUACGCGUGUCCGAGAGUGGACAUGGUCUUUUCGUUGCCAAUGUUAUAGAUAAGAUUAUUUAAUGAUACUAAUGAAAAUGUACCUAUCUAAUGUGUUUUUUUUUUUAAAUAUAUUAUGUAUUUAACAAUCACUGCAAUGUUACAAUUUUCGUUUUCUUUCAACCCCUUAAUGGCCAAGAGUGGCACUGAUACUUUAGCAGUUUCAUGUGUUCUGCCUACCCCUUUAUGGGAUACAGGCGUGAUUGUAUGUAUGUAUGUAUUUAACAUUUUUUUAUCCUGUCCAGGCUUAGUGCCGGAGCAGUUUCGCUUGCUGUGUUUCCAAAGUUGUUUAUCGGGAUUUUUUUCAUUUUACCGGGAGGACACGCAAAAAAUCGGGAGAAUCCCGCCAAAUCCCUAUCAUCUGGCAACCCUGCUUCCAAAAUACUUAUUACCAUCGGGGGAGCGGCUGCGGCCAUCAUUUAUGAAAUGCAUCCUAUUACGACAGCAAUUAAACUUUUGCGCUCGUAGAAUUUCAGAAUACUUAUUUCUUGUUUUCUUACCCAAAUAAUUGGGAUCCCGGUGUCGGUAUCUGAGACAUAUUAGCACUUUCGCAAUCACCGUUAACAAGCCAUUUGACCAUGUUUCAUCUAUCUUUAAGUUAAUCUUAAAAUAAAUUAUAUCAAUUGAA